GUUUGCUUCAAAUAAAUAAUGCCUUCUGCCUAAUAAAUAUUUAUUUUAUCGACAUAAAAUAUAUAAUCAAAUAUAUUUUAUCCACGGAAUUUAUUUGUGGGGCUUCGACAGAAAACUGGCGAGCCAAGCUGGAUCUGUAAGACGCCUGAAGUAACAACAAUUCACCUGUAGAUCGCUUGUUAUUCGUCCUGAUCUGGUGGCGAACAAGGGUGCCGCUGCCAUGACAGCUAUCAUCAGGAAGAAUCUGGGAACACCAUCCCCUGCAAAUAUAUUUCCAUCAUGGCCAUUACAAACCCUCGGAGGAUGAUUAGCCCAUUGCUUUGUAUACCAUUGAUUAGCCAACUCCCAUUCUUGAACCCCGACUCUCCUGCACCCUUUUCUCUUUCCCUCAAUUUCUCCUUUUCGCCGUCGAUUCCUCAUCUGUUAACUCCAUUACUGCCUUUGCCGCUCCUGUAUCAAUCCCACCAUUGGAUAAAUGCCCUCCUUAGGCCUAUCAUGCCGUUCUAUUUCUGUUGCAGGCUAGAUUUGGUUAACUUUGUUUCAUAAUUUCAAGGAUUUUUUUCUUUCUAUAAGGAUAUAGGAUAUUCUUUGCCGUUACAGAACACUAGGGUUUAUCUUAUUGCAUGGUACAAGAUUGUCAUAUAUAUAAUAAUCGAUAAUUGUUUCUCUUACAGACCUUAUGAAUUUCAAUUUUGCUAUUCUCUUAUCUAGCAGUAAAGAUGUGUGCUUGGUUGCACUACGAUAUACUUAUAUGGUGGCGGAGCUCCAUGCAAACAUCUGGAUCUGGUUCACAUUUCACCAUUUCUUCUCACUUGCUUUGUUCUUCAAACCAUAAAGCUUGGAUAAGUACCCUCGUGCCUCUAGAGGUAACUGCUGUUCCAACUUGUCUGUGAAUACGAAUGUGUAUGUUUGGAAUUUUUUCAUCAAUUAUUUCGUAAUUUCUUUCACUAAUAAUUUCCUAAAUUCUUUCACUAAUAAUUUCGUAAAUGUCAACUAUUUCGAGUAUGCUCCACAAAUUUGUUGGGCCCACAGAGAGAGAUCCCAGUUGUCACUAGUGAGAAUCUUUCCAAUAUUAGGGGGUAUGAAGGUCGAGGAUCAAAGGUUGGGGUGAGAAGCUACCUGCUUGUAAUUCGUUUUGCUGUGGUCAUAAUUGAAGUUGGAAAUGCAUUUAAUAUUGGGGAUUAUGGUUUAGUGAAUUUAUGGUUUAAUGGGUUUGUGAUUUAAAGUGGAAGACACAUUGGGCAAAUUCAUUUAAUGUGGGAGCCAAUUUGGGAAAAAUGACAUUUAAUGUGGUGUCACAUAAGACAAGUCAUCUUGGGUGCAUGGACUGGAGAGAAACAUUUGGGCUGCUCUGGAAGUUGUAAUGACACUCUUGAUUUUAGAGUCAAAUUUGAGAACCUACCUCGGAGAUGUACUUGGUUGCAUUGAUUAAGGAUGGCUAGAAAACAUUAGAGUAAGAUUUUCCACCCUUGUUACUCUCUUGCCUAAUCAUCAGAAGGCUUGUGAUAGAGUUUAUCAUCUAUUGGUUGAUUUCAUCUUGUGCAUGUUCAUUGCCAGUAAAACUAGUUGUGUGCACCACUAGGUUUGAGUUGUUUAUCGAGAGAAUGAGAAGCAUAGAGUCGGCUGUGUAUCUUAUUUGUUCCUGGGGUGGUCUUAUGAGGAGUGCAACAACAGUUGUUUACUGCUACUGAAGAAGGCUAUAUUUUACAUAGUUUCUUUCUUUAUUGAGAGUGUUGGUCUGCUGUAAGAGCUCAAAGUUGAUAUUGUAUAUUGGUCGGUACUUUGGAGGCUAUUUUUUUCCAAAAGAUUUGGUCGGUACUUUGGAGGCUAAUUUUUCACAAAAGAUUUUUUCUAGGGUAUAUUGGUCUGUAGAUUUGAUAAUGUGUGCAUCUUUACUCAUGAGAUUAAGUUAAAAUUAUUUCAUAUUUUCUUUCA